rnacentral:lncRNA from 1 species
GCGCGGCUGAAAGCACGGGCCACUCGUGCGCGCGUCACUCGGGGCUGUGCGUAGCGCGACGGUGUGUGCAGGAAACAAGCAGGAAAUACCCUAAAAUAGAAUUAAGCGCCACGUUGCGGGCCGCGGACGUCGCGAGUGCUGUGGGAAUGUGGGCUAAGGUGGAGAGUUAUGGUGGCGCGUGUUACAGGCCCAGGGGUCAGGAGAAGCCUAAUCGUGGAGGCGGCAUCUGAGGAGGGUCUUGAACGCUGGGCAGGCUUUUGCCUGACGGAGAUGGAGGAAGCAAGUGCUGUCUGAUGGAGGAAACAGGGCGGAGGCGUGGAGGGAGCCGUGCAGCGCUGGUGUGAGGAGCAGCGAGCAGGCCAGGCCUGUAAAGCAGAGUGAUGGGAACCUGGAUGGAGAGGGCAAGUCGGGGUCCUGUGGUCGCUGAAGAAUUUGAAAUCAGUAAACAGGUGAGAGGGAUCAAUCGCAAGAGCAUGGGGUGAAACGAGGCGUCGUCCACGGUGAUUCCUCUGCAGCGGUGGGUAUUAUUAAUCGCGUAUGUGACGCCAGAACCACCCCACUCAAGCUGUGGCUCUUGCCCUAAAGUAGAAAACAGAGACCAGUUGGGUUCCAAGCAUCCACGAAGAUCUUAUUAAACUCGUGAUCCCUGGUGGCACCAUCGACUCAGGACUGGCCCAUCUCAAACCUGACUCAGAAACAAAACCGUCACAGUGUGCAGAGAUGAGCGUCCUUGCCCGCUAUCAUAACGUAUUUUCCGGUGUUUUCACAGUGCUGCGUUUCCUAAUCCCCACUCCACGGCAAUCCACAUGCCGUGAUGCCCGGAGGCAUUAGCAAGGAGACACACAGGGGCUCUUCACGUUGGCUUUCCAGGGUUUUGAUGAAAAUAUCAACUUCCUCAUCUCUUAUAUUGUGGUUAGUAAUAGUAUCAUUUAGGGUUGAAGAAUUAGAUGGUACGAAUUAUAUAGGGUGUUUAUUAUAACCUACAUGGAAAAUGCCUAGGAGAUGUUAGCUAUCCUCAUCACCAACAUCGUUACUUGAUGGUUAUAAUCAGACAGGAAGGCCGACACCAAGAAAAUGGAUACAUGCUCUGGGGGAAUGAAUGUGGAGAGAUCAGAAAGUCAAGAACAAAGCCAUACAACAUGUCUACAGUAAAGGGAUAGAGAAAAGAGAGUCUAUAAAAGAAGAAGUGAAACAGAGUUAGAGUAAAAUUUUAGAAAUCAAAGCUCAGGAGAAUUUCCAGAAAGGGUAAUAUUUAAUAUCGUAGAAGUUUAGGAGCACAAGAUGGAAAAAAAGGCCUUUGGGUAACUGACAUUGAGGCAGUCUUUGGGGAAGCUCCAUUUCUGAUAGAGAAGUAGAAAGCUUGAUGCAGCGACUAGGUGAAGAAGCCCUGGCUGCUCGCAUGGGGAAAUAAAUAAGGGAUGGAAUAUGCCAUAUUUCUGGGUUUCUUUCUUUCUUGCUCAGCCUCUGUAUAUGCACAGAGUUUGGUGAAAACUUACAAAAAAUAAAAAUGAAAC